UACGGGGGGGGCAAGCGUUGUUCGGAAUUACUGGGCGUAAAGGGCUCGUAGGCGGCCAACUAAGUCAGACGUGAAAUCCCUCGGCUUAACCGGGGAACUGCGUCUGAUACUGGAUGGCUUGAGUGUGGGAGAGGGAUGCGGAAUUCCAGGUGUAGCGGUGAAAUGCGUAGAUAUCAGGAGGAAUACCGAUGGCGAAGGCAGGUCUCUGGGCUGACACUGACGCUCAUGCACGAAAGCGUGGGGAGCAAACAGG
rnacentral:rRNA from 1 species